AUUGAACGCUGGCGGCGUGCUUAACACAUGCAAGUCGAUCGGUAACGCGGGGGCAACCCUGGCGACGAGAGGCGGACGGGUGAGGAACGCUUGGGAAUCUGCCCUUCAGCGGGGGACAACACGGGGAAACUCGUGCUAAUACCGCAUACGCUCCACGGAGGAAAGCCGGGGACCGCAAGGCCUGGCACUGAAGGAUGAGCCCAAGUCGGAUUAGCAAGUUGGCGGGGUAACGGCCCACCAAGGCGACGACCCGUAGCGGGUCUGAGAGGACGAUCAGCCACACUGGGACUGAGACACGGCCCAGACUCCUACGGGAGGCAGCAGUGGGGAAUAUUGGACAAUGGGGGAAACCCUGAUCCAGCGACGCCGCGUGGGUGAAGAAGGCCUGCGGGUUGUAAAGCCCUUUCGGUAGGGACGAAAGCUCUCGACCUAACACGUCGGGAGGUUGACUUAACCUACAAAAGAAGCACCGGCUAACUCUGUGCCAGCCGCCGCAGUAACAC
rnacentral:rRNA from 1 species